AUUAGAUACCCUGGUAGUCCAUGCUGUAAACGAUGAAUGCUAGGUGUGGGGGGACUGACCCCUUCCGUGCCGGAGUUAACACAAUAAGCAUUCCACCUGGGGAGUACGACCGCAAGGUUGAAACUCAAAGGAAUUGACGGGGGCCCGCACAAGCAGUGGAGUAUGUGGUUUAAUUCGAAGCAACGCGAAGAACCUUACCAGGUCUUGACAUCCAACUAACGAAGCAGAGAUGCAUUAGGUGCCCUUCGGGGAAAGUUGAGACAGGUGGUGCAUGGUUGUCGUCAGCUCGUGUCGUGAGAUGUUGGGUUAAGUCCCGCAACGAGCGCAACCCCCAUCGCCAGUUGCCAACAGGUAAAGCUGGGAACUCUGGCGAGACUGCCGGCGCAAGCUGCGAGGAAGGCGGGGAUGACGUCAAAUCAGCACGGCCCUUACGUCCGGGGCGACACACGUGUUACAAUGGCAGGUACAGCGGGAAGCCACCGGGCGACCGGGAGCAGAACCCGAAAACCUGUCUCAGUUCGGAUUGGAGUCUGCAACUCGACUCCAUGAAGCUGGAUUCGCUAGUAAUCGCGCAUCAGCCACGGCGCGGUGAAUACGUUCCCGGGCCUUGUACACACCGCCCGUCAAGCCAUGGGAGUCGGGAGUGCCUGAAGUACGUGACCGCAAGGAGCGUCCUAAGGCAAAACUGAUGACUGGGGCUAAGUCGUAACAAG
rnacentral:rRNA from 1 species